rnacentral:rRNA from 1 species
AUGGGCGACAGCUGACGGAGACAAUACCGCGUGAGGGAUGACGGCCUGUGGGUGGUAAACCUCUUUUCUCAAGGAAGAAGUUCUGACGGUACUUGAGGAAUAAGCACCGGCUAACUCCGUGCCAGCAGCCGCGGUAAUACGUACGGUGCGAGCGUUAAUCGGAAUACUGGGCGUAAAGGGUGCGCAGGCGGAUAUUUAAGUUAGAUGUGAAAUACCCGAGCUAAACUUGGGGAGGUCAUUUAAUACUGGAUAUCUAGAGUUUGUCAGAGGGGGGUAGAAUUCCACGUGUAGCAGUGAAAUGCGUAGAGAUGUGGAGGAAUACCGAUGGCGAAGGCAGCCCCCUGGGAUAAAACUGACGCUCAAGCACGAAAGCGUGGGUAGCCAACCGGAUUAAAUCCCCUGGUAGUCCACGCCUUAAACGAUGUCUACUGGCUGUGGGGGGUAAACCUAGUAGCAAGCCUACGCGAGAAGUAGACGCCGGGGGAGUACCGUCCAAGAU